UGCUAUUUUAAGUUAGGUUUUUAGUUUUCGACUAACAAUAUUAGUAUAAAGGUCAAAACUAUUUUACAGGCUUUUAAGUAGGCGAGCAAAAAAUUGCAAAUUUUGUUAACGAAACUCCUACACAUCCCAAAUUUCGAAAUAAAUGCACCCGGGGUUCAAUGUGCUGCUUUUAAGCAAACCUGGGCGAUUUGCCGAUCUGGCAACUACGCCAAAAUUUAACCUAAAAAAAUUUAAAUAAAAACCAUAACAAACGAACCGUUAUAACUAUAAAACUUGAUAUCCUGGUACAGGAAAAAAUGGAACAAAGCAUUUACACUCUGAAUAUACCAAAAACGAAAUUAACUAGAUUACAUUCAUUGGGAACGUACUAUGUAAAUGAUAUGACGAAACCCAUUAUAGAAACUUUGCAGCAAAAUAUCGCGGAGGUGUCCCAAUCGAAAACAGCAUUGGAUCUUCUUGAAGAAGAACUGACUAAUCAGUAUAUUUUAAGCUUCAAUAUUGAACUUGACAAGAUUUUAACAGGUGAAAUUACACCUCAUAGGAUUGUCGAGCUUGCUGGACCCCCUGGUAGUGGAAAAACACAAAUUUGUUUUCAGCUAAGUGUGACCACUCAGCUCCCAAUAAGCUUAGGAGGUCUUAACGGUCAAGUGGCAUAUUUAUGCACCAAUAAAAACUUCUCACCCACAAGGGUUCAAGAACUUUCCCAAAAACUUUUAAACCAGUUUAAUAAAGUGAACAUCAAAACCGGACUGACUUGUAAAGAUUUUUUAAGGAAUAUUUUUGUUUUUAAUCUGAAUAAUCCUGCUGAUCUUUCUACUGCUGUAAAAUACUUGGACUAUUUUUUAAGAGACAAGAAGAUUAAAUUGGUAAUAAUUGAUAACAUCUCGAACCCUUUAAGAAAAUUAAAGGGAGUGGAGAGGACUGCUUAUGCAUAUACUUUGCUAAAUGAAUUACAAAUGUUAAGUAGAACUUUUGGGUUUGCAAUACUUAUCACCAAUGACUUUACUACUAAGAUUAAAGAUAAUGAAGUAAUUUCUGCCCCAUCAUUUGGUGACAGUUUCUUAGACAGAGUUAAUACCAGAAUAUGUUUAUAUAAACAGCCUGAAUGCGAAGUUUAUACAGCGGAAUUGCUUAAAAGUUCAUGUAAAUCUAUGAGGAAUCAUUUAGGAAACAGUUUUUGUAUGUUUUGAGAAAUGGAGUGCGAAAAGCGAUGGAUUUAUAUAAUUAAUCGGUUCUAUGAUGAGCUGCUGUGGAUGAUGAAAUAUGAAAGUCAAUCGCCUUGGUUGCUCUAUCCACAACUUCAUUUUCUUUGUGAAUACAUCGAUUGGGAUGAUAUACAAGCAAUUUGUCAGGAAUUUAUAGAGCAGUUAGAAACAGAUCUGGCAUUUGAACAAACAUGACAAUGAGUAUGGUGGAAUUAAUGCAAUUUGCAUACAUUUUUGUAUGCCAAGUACCUGUGAUACAAAUGCAGCAAUGCUGUUAAAGACUAUUUAUUUGUAUACAUAUAAGUUAUGUAAACGUGAUUUAGACUAUAAGAAGUUAAUUUUGCAGGUUAACUGAACCUAUUUUAGAAUGUAGACAUAUCAACUUUGUUUCUUUCGUAGUCUUAAUUUGUGUACCUACUAAACCAAAAUGUUAUACAUAAGCAAUUUAUAUGUUACUAAACAAAUUGUCCAUUUAGUCAUUGACUGUUCCUAUUGCAGUUUCAUGUAUGUACUUUAGUUUUUGUAAUUAAUAUUAUUUGUUAGGUUUAAUACAUAACUUUUUUACCUUUGUAAUUGAUAAACCGUAAAUAAAAGACUUUUUUUUGUAAAAUAGAA
rnacentral:misc_RNA from 1 species